UUCCCUAGCGAAAAGAAACAGCUCCACACAACUAGGUCGUGGGAUUUCGUGGGGUUUCCCCGACAAGUUAAAAGAACAAGUUUUGAAAGCGACAUUAUCAUAGGAGUGCUUGACGGUGGAAUAUGGCCAGAGUCUGACAGCUUCGAUGAUAAAGGAUUUGGCCCACCGCCAAGGAAAUGGAAGGGCACUUGCCAAGGGUUUUCCAAUUUCACUUGCAACAAGUAAAUCUCACUCGCAACAGAGUGUCUAAAUACCCUGUUAAAAAAGUUUAAAUAUAUCCUAUCCUUGUUCCUUAACAAAACUUUCCACCGAUGUUAUUGCAGUAAAAUUAUUGGAGCCAAGUACUAUAAGAGCGAUAGAAAAUUUAGCCCAGAAGAUUUGCAAUCCCCAAGAGAUUCAGACGGCCACGGGACACACACUGCAUCCACUGCAGCUGGGGGCCUAGUCAACAUGGCAAGUCUCAUGGGCUUUGGCUUAGGAACUGCUCGGGGCGGAGUUCCAUCAGCUCGGAUAGCAGUGUAUAAGAUAUGUUGGUCUGAUGGCUGUGAUGAUGCUGAUAUUCUCGCAGCAUUUGAUGAUGCAAUUGCUGAUGGGGUUGAUAUAAUCUCUUAUUCACUUGGGAAUCCCCCUUCCCGGGAUUAUUUUAAAGAUACUGCUGCAAUCGGUGCUUUUCAUGCAAUGAAAAAUGGGAUACUAACAUCAACUUCUGCUGGUAACGAUGGACCUCGCCUUGUUUCCGUCGUAAAUGUCGCGCCAUGGUCUCUUUCCGUGGCUGCUAGCACCAUAGAUCGGAAGUUCUUGACCGAGGUGCAACUAGGUGACAAGAAGGUUUAUAAGGUGAGUAAACUUGCUCACACUUUGGACUAAUAACCAUCACAUUCAAAUAUCAUUUAUUAAAGAAAUUAGAUUUCAACUACGUGGAUCUGAUUUUUGGAGGUGGAGGUUAUAUCAUUGCCCUUUGUGUAGGGAUUUUCGAUAAACGCAUUUGAGCCCAAUGGCAUGUAUCCUUUGAUUUAUGGUGGGGAUGCCCCGAAUACUAGAGGAGGUUUUAGAGGGAACACAUCCAGGUACUUAUUAUUAAAGAAUGAAAAAUAAUUAAUUGAAAAUGAAAACCGUACGUUAGAAAUCCUGAAUUUUAAAGUGUGUGAUAGAUUACAGGACUUUCAUCACUGAAAUGCAGGUUUUGCGAAAUAAACUCAUUGAACCCAAAUUUAGUGAAGGGUAAAAUUGUCCUUUGCAUUGGGCUUGGCGCUGGGUUUAAAGAAGCAUGGAGUGCAUUCUUGGCAGGUGCCGUUGGGACUGUGAUAGUGGAUGGACUCCGACUCCCCAAAGAUUCCAGCAAUAUUUAUCCCUUGCCUGCAUCUCGCCUUAGUGCAGGAGAUGGUAAAAGAAUUGCCUACUACAUCAGCUCAACAAGGUAUCGAUUAACACAGCUUCCUACUUUUAUUUGGAGAUGACUGUAAAUUAUACAAGUGAUAUGCUUUAGAAUUUGUACGGCAUAUAUGUACUCAGUCUUAGUCUUACUACAUUUAAACAGUAACCCAACUGCAUCGAUUUUGAAGAGUAUUGAGGUUAAGGACACAUUGGCCCCAUAUGUACCCUCCUUCUCAUCAAGGGGUCCAAACAAUAUUACACACGACCUUCUCAAGGUAGCUUAUGCCAUUAUUCUUGAUUUUCUUCUCAUUUAUCCCAUGACAUGUUCAUCUCUAUAUCAUGUAAACCCAACUCAACAUUUUCACCUCCCAUUUGAGAAAACACAGGGGUUUUUUUCUUAAUCUAUGUUGAGAACGGUUACGCAUACCUCAGACCAAAUCACCCUUUUCCUUAGUUCAUAAAGACUUUCUAGAAGCUUGACAUUCAUGAUGACUUUGUGAUCUUACUGCAUGCAGCCAGAUUUAACAGCCCCAGGUGUACACAUUCUGGCUGCCUGGUCACCAAUUUCUCCAAUCUCUCAAAUGAGUGGUGAUAAUCGAGUAGCGCAAUACAAUAUAUUAAGCGGCACGUCAAUGGCUUGUCCACAUGCUACUGGGGCAGCUGCCUACAUCAAGUCAUUUCACCCCACCUGGUCUCCUGCUGCUAUUAAGUCUGCUCUUAUGACUACUGGUAAUGACUGAAUUUUAUUCCCGGCCUUUCAAAUUAUGAAAGAGGUGAUAGUAAUGGAUUUUAGUCCUUUGUGUGUUUUGUAAGCAGCUACUCCCAUGAGCGCUAGAAAAAAUCCGGAAGCCGAAUUUGCAUAUGGUGCAGGCAAUAUUGAUCCUGUAAGGGCUGUGCACCCUGGUUUAGUGUAUGAUGCCGAUGAGAUUGACUUUGUAAAUUUUUUGUGUGGAGAAGGCUAUAGUAUUCAGACUCUACGGAAAGUCACCGGGGAUCAUAGUGUCUGUUCGAAAGCUACGAAUGGAGCCGUUUGGGAUCUAAAUUACCCGUCCUUUGCUCUUUCCAUCCCCUACAAAGAAUCAAUCGCUCGCACGUUCAAAAGGAGUGUCACAAAUGUUGGAUUACCAGUAUCCACAUAUAAAGCAACUGUUAUUGGUGCCCCAAAGGGACUCAAAAUCAACGUUAAACCAAACAUUUUAUCAUUCACAUCCAUCGGGCAGAAACUAUCUUUUGUGUUGAAGGUUGAAGGACGUAUAGUUAAAGACAUGGUCUCUGCUUCGUUAGUGUGGGAUGACGGUUUACAUAAAGUGAGGUCCCCCAUUAUUGUGUAUGCAGUCCAAUAAAAUUCCAAAAGCCUGGUGUUUUGUACCAGAGGCAUCGGAAUUGUGGUAUCUAUCACGUUGAACUAAAUGAUGUGGUAUCUACAUAAGAUGGAAAUAAAUGAUAAUAUUUAGUAUUGGUUGUAUUACCUGUCCAUACGAGCUAUUAGAUCUAGCUCUAAUAGAUCUAAUACCCUUUACAUAUGAAGGUUCGGUCUCAAUACCCUUCUUUCUCCUCUCCCAGCCACUUUUCUCCUAGGCGGCCAGGCCCAUCCUUUCUUUUUGCUCUCCCUAGGCACUUUUCUCCGGGGCCCACCGCACCUUUAUGUGAUACUUUAAGGACGUAGCUUUAUCAUGGUUGAAAUUAUUGCCAAAACAUAUAUAUUUAAAUAGUAGUCAAAUAAAAAUUUCAUAAUUAAUCUAAUUUUAUUCAAAUAUACACUUAAAUAAUAGUCAAAUAAGAACUCCAUGGUUAUUUUCUUUUAAAAAAAAAUCUUUUAUGUAACAAGUUAUUGUUGAAAGUACAUGUAUCAAGUUUCAUGCCUUUUUUUGUUUCUCUUUAUUUUAUUAAUUCAUUAUUUUAAAAAUAUUUUUAUAUAUUUUAAAAUUUUUUCUACAAAUGUACUUACGUAGAAAAAUUGAAAUUAAUUAUAGUUAAAUAUAUUUGUACCAAUCUUCAAGAGGAGUGAAUUAAAUUAAUCUUUAAACAAAUCAACAUACCAUGAAAAUAACCAAAAAAUAUUUUAAAAGAACUUUUGGAAAUAAUUUUUUUUCUAAUUUGGAAAAAAAUUAUAAUUAAAUUUGAAUAAAAAUUAUUUCAUUAAAAAUGUUGUCAUGUGUGAUGUAUCGGACACUCAUGUACUAAGGGGUUUUGGCAUUUUUUUGGUUUCCUUGUCAUGAUUAUUUAUUAAUUUGUAAUUUAAAAAUUCUUUUUAUAAUUUUUUUUACUCUUAAAAGUUAAGAUAAAAGACUCAUACCUCAAUUUUGUUUAUGCACUCUGUAAACAAUACAUUUGUAUUGAUUUUAUGACAUAGGUAUAAAACAUUUUGUUGUGAAUAUGUUACAAAAUACAUAAAAAAGUGUAGUCCUAUAAAUUUAUUUUAAGAUGAUUUUACUUAAUUCUUCAAAAAUGGAAAGACCAUGGUAUUUUCUUUGUAUUCACAAUUAAAAAGAGUGCAUAGGACCCAUGUAAAAGGGAAUACAUUCUCUAUUUUAAAGGAAUGAGUUUCUUCUCCCACACCCAAGAGAAUUUGAUAAUGCGGAAUAAUUUUUACUUGUCAUCCAUGUACAAAACAUUUGUUUCGAUUUGUGAAAGACAUUUUGGGUAUAAGAAAACAAUGUACACCAAAUAAGGACCAUUGUUAUGUUUGCUCUAAUAUAAAAUUCCAAAAUCUUUGUGUUGGUGUGAUAUAAAAUUGCGAUAUCUAUAAAAUUGAAAAUAAAUGUUGUGAUAUAAGUAAGAUGGAAACAAAAGAGAAAAUUGUAAGCCUUUAAUAUUAAGGAAAUUUGGAAUUAAUUUUAAAAUAAAAUGUGUGUCAUUAAUUAUUUGACUAGUUUUUUGUAUAUGGCACGGAGGGGUUGUUUCUCAAUGUAAUACAUUAGUUAUUAAUAGGACAUGUGAAUAUUAGUUGUGGAUUAACACAGCUCCAGGUUGAUAGUGGUAUUAUAAAACUUUCAAAAAAUGACUCAUAAAUGUAGUUUUCCUCUAUUUUAUAUUUUUCUUAAUUUUUCUAAUAAAUAUAUAGACCACAUUACAAAUCAUGUAACAAUACAAUCUCCUACAUAGUUUAAUCAAUGUAAGUCAUAUGCUGAAAAAAAAAUCAAUACUCCUAGUAUAGGAAAUAAUGACUUAUUCAUAAAUAUGAAUCUUAUGCUAUAAUUAAAUCAAAAAUAGAAAUUAAAGAAUAAUAAAGAGACGAAAAAAACACAUGAAUAUAAGGUGAAAAAUCUUUAAGGAGACAAAGAACCAUGGACCAAUCUUAAUUAAUCACAAUAUCUACUAUAAAGGAAAUGUCUGGUUCAAGAUUUUACUUAAUAUACAGCUUCCAAUCCUCUCCAAGGCCAUUUGUUUAGUAUUUUAGGGAUCUUAGCUUUCCACCGUCUCCAUGUGGAACUUUUUUGGAACCCUUUCAAAUAUGAUUUUAGACUCUUUUUGAUAUCCACAGAAAAAUACAUUUAACCGAAACGAGAGUAUGGACAAAAAUAAUGGAAUUAAUGAGUAGUAAAUAAAUCUAUUAAAUAUAUACAAAAAAUGUAUAUAAAAUUAUUUCAUCAAGAUGUUUUCCAUUCUUGGAGAAUUAAGUAAAAUCAUCAAAUAGUGGGUGUUGUAAAAUUUCCUUUCAUCAAAUAGUGGCCUUUCAUUUUUCAGUUUAUAUUUUUAUUAUAUUUUUAAAAAUAAAUCAUUUGAAAUGUCGUGUAAGGAGUAACUCAAGCAUUUGAAAAUAAUGUAUAUUGGACUAUGUAGGUUGAUCAUCAAAUGUGUAUCAUAAGGUUUAAGCAGUUGCAUUUGUAUCUCAAUUGUUGAAAGUGUACAAUAAAGUUUAAAUCAUCAAAGAUGAUGAUGCAAGUAAUAUAAUUAAGUAUAGAUCAAUAAAAUUAAGGUAAAAAACAAUAAAAUCAAAGUGUAAAAUAAUGAGACAAAAUUCGGUAUAAAGAAAUGAAAUUAUAAUUCAAACGUGAUACAACUUGAUUAAUUGUGCUUUUUAAUACUUAUCAUCGAUUUAGUAUUAGAGAGGGGCCUACGAUGAUUAAAAGAGGAGGAUUGAAAGGCUCAGGUAUAUAUACAUGUCCAAAGCACCAGAAUGUGGUCCAUCUAAUGGCAAGAAAAAACUUUUUUCUCUGGUUUCUCCUUCUCAGUCUCAUUUGCACUUUGUUCUGUACCCACAGUACUACAGCAAUAUAGAUCCUGUGAAGGCUGUAGAUCCUGGUCUGGUAUAUGAUGUCGAUGAGAUUGACUAUGUAAAAUUUUUGUGUGGGCAAGGUUAUAGUACUCGGGCUCUAUGGCGUCACUGGGGGUAAUUGUGUCUGUUCUGCCGCUACAAAUGGAACCGUCUGGAAUCUAAAUUACCCUUCCUUUGCUCUUUCCAGCUUCACCAAGGAAUCUGUCACUGGAAUGCAUGGAACCAAAUUAAACCAAUAUUAUCUUUAUACUAGAAAAGCUGGAAUUGGGCUUUGUUGUAACUUCUGUUAUAUUUUUUAAAAUAUUUACGAAAGUACCAUUGCUUUCCUUUCAUAUAUAGGAUGGGAUAAUGGUAAUUAUCAAUUAAAUGCAGGUCGAAAGAUGUAGUAUGACAGCAACGUGUAUUGUUGCCAUUAUGCCACCUAUCAUGAUUUCAUAUAUAGGAAGGCAUCUUCCACAAUUUCAUUGAGCCUCUCUUUUUCCUUUACUUUGUUACUUUCAAAUUAGAACAAUUUACUUGAAUUCAGGCAAUAUGGAUAAAUCACCCGUGGGAGUGACCCAAAUUCUAAUUGCUACACCCGUCAACAUUGACGGAAAAAAUGGUGACGUAUUAUGGGAAUCGUAAUCAACUGUCGGUGGGCUGACGCAACCUUCCCACCCCCCUUUCCUCCAACACGUGAGUCACAUGCUUGAGACCUUCAAUGGCAAAACAAUUAUAUCAUGCACCUUUGGAUGAUAUAAAACAAUUAUAUAAAAGAAUUAUUUUAUAUCUAACACGUACCUUUGGAUGCUAAAGAAAUUUUAUGUCAGAUACAUGUUUUAGUGGUAUUCAAAGGCACAAAAAAGCACAAUUUAUGGGAAUAUAAAAUUUAUUUAAAUAAUUGGAGUGAGAAAAAAAAUGAAAAAUAUUUCUCUGCUAGAAAUUAGGAUUCAACAUUGUUAAAUAGGAUUUUCAGAUGGUAAUUUUACAAAAAAAAGUUGGUAAUAAUACCCUAAAAAUAAAUUGAAGGGCAUUAAUAAUGGGAUGAAAUUCUAAAGAUGAAGUCUAAUGUAAUGAUUGAUUAGGGGUCUCCAAAAAGCCCGCGGCCCGCGGCCCGCUUUAGGCCCGGCCCGGCCCGACGGGCUAAAGCCCGGCCCAAGCCCGCUAGGCCCAAGCCCGGCCCGAGCCCGUUUAUGGGCUGGUCGGGCCGCGGGCCUGGCCCGUAGGCCCGCCCUUAGGCCCGCCUUUAAUUUUUUUUUAAAAAAUAAUAUACUAUAUUUUUAUAUAUAUAUAACUAACUCAUUUUAUAAGUACAAAAGAAAUGUAGCUCAGUUGGUUAGAGCCUUGAAAUUUAAGCUUGAGGGGAGGGGUUCGAAUUCCCUCCUCUUCCUUCCUUUAUUUAAAAGCCAUUUUGGCUUAUUUAAAAAAGCCCGCGGCCCGGCUCGCUGGCCCGGCCCACCCAGCCCGCCCCCCAGCCCGCUAGCCCGCGGGCUCAUAGGCCGGGCCGCGGGCCUAGCAUUUUAGCUCGGCCCGGCCCGGCCCGGCCCGACCCGUUGACCAGUCAACAGGCCCAUAGGCCCGGCCCGAGCUGGGCCGCGGGCCUCUUAUUUACGGCCCGGCCCGCCCCGGCCCGCCCGUUGGAGACCCUUAUGAUUGAUGCUCCAACACACUCUCUCCCUCUGUAUAGUCUUUGAGCUUUAUUCAUAACUUUAACAAAAUUCUUUCUCAAAAGAAGUGACAAUAAUAAUAAAAAAGAUUGAAUUAUUGGAAGGGAUGUAAAGUAGAUGUUGAUGGGCAUAUCUUUUAAUGAAAAAAAGUCUUUGGUAUUAUGGGGGAUGACUGGUGAGUCUUUUGAUUUAUCCGUGCAUUGCUCUUUAUUCUUUUAUCUUUUUAAAUACAAAUUAUUGGAAAUGUCCUGGAAGGUGUAACAUUAGAUUAAAAGAGAAAAAGGAUUGGGAGGCUCAUGUGUAUAUAUGUAUAGAUGUCCAAGCACCACGAAGCGCAUAGCUUACCAUCAUCUAAUGGCAAAACAAAAAAACUCCUUUCUGUGGUUUCUCCUUCUCAGUCUCAUCUGCAGUCUGCUCAGCACCCACAGUACUGCAGCAGCUUCCGAGGAUGAUGUUCGAAAGGCAAGAAACACCCAUCUCUCUCUUGCUUUCUCUUAAUUAAUGGCUUGGUCAAUAUUCCAUGAACCAUACAUGCAUGCGUGGCGGAAAAAUUAAGAUUAAUCUUGCGCUGAAAAUCAUGCUUGGGUAGUGUUAAUAAACUGGAUUUGCAUCAAACAUGUUGUGGAUGCAGGAGUAUAUUGUGUACAUGGGUGCCAAGCCUGCCGGAGAUUUGUCGGCGUCUGCCAUUCACACCAACAUGCUGGAGCAAGUCUUUGGCAGGUCAGAAUUCACCUUUUGUUUUUUUGUUUUUGUUUUUUUAUUUAUUACAUAUAUGGUACCAUUUUCCCCAUGGAAUGCCUUUUCAGUGGUAGGGCAUCAAGUUCUCUAGUUCGCAGUUACAAAAGGAGUUUCAAUGGAUUUGUAGCGAAGCUAACAGAGGAGGAAAUGCAGCAAAUGAAAGGUGCGUAGGUGGGUUUAAAUCUUUCUUUAAUUGAAGUUUCUCAUGCGUGUAAUGGCUACAAAAUUAACUGUAACUUUGGAGUUUCAGGCAUGGACGGGGUGGUCUCGGUUUUCCCUAACGAAAAGAAACAGCUCCACACAACUAGGUCGUGGGAUUUCGUGGGGUUUCCCCGACAAGUUAAAAGAACAAGUUUUGAAAGCGACAUUAUCAUAGGAGUGCUUGACACUGGAAUAUGGCCAGAGUCUGACAGCUUCGAUGAUAAAGGAUUUGGCCCACCGCCAAGGAAAUGGAAGGGCACUUGCCACGGGUUUUCCAAUUUCACUUGCAACAAGUAAAUCUCACUCGCAACAGUGUCUAAAUACCCUGUUACAAAAGUUUAAAUACUAUCCUUAUUCCUUAACAAAACUUUCCACUGAUGUUAUUGCAGUAAAAUUAUUGGAGCCAAGUACUAUAAGAGCGAUGGAAAAUUUAGCCCAAAAGAUUUGCAUUCCCCAAGAGAUUCAGAAGGCCAUGGGACACACACUGCGUCAACUGCGGCAGGGGAUUUAGUCAGCAUGGCAAGUCUAAUGGGCUUUGGUUUAGGAACCGCACGGGGUGGGGUUCCAUCAGCUCGGAUAGCUGUGUAUAAGACGUGUUGGUCUGAUGGCUGUCAUGAUGCUGAUAUUCUUGCAGCAUUUGAUGAUGCAAUUGCUGAUGGGGUUGAUAUAAUAUCUAUUUCAGUUGGGGGUAAAACUCCCCAGAAAUAUUUUGAAGAUUCUGCUGCAAUCGGAGCUUUUCAUGCAAUGAAAAAUGGGAUACUAACAUCAACUUCUGCUGGUAACGAGGGACCUCUCCUUGUUUCCGUCACAAAUGUCUCGCCAUGGUCUCUUUCCGUGGCUGCUAGCACCACAUAUCGGAAGUUCUUGACCAAGGUGCAACUAGGUGACAGGAAGGUUUAUAAAGUAAGCUUGCUCACACUUUGGACUAAUAACCAUCACUUUCAAAUAUCAUUUAUUAAAGUAAUUGGAUUUCAACUACGUGGAGCUGAUUUUUGGAGGUGGAGGUUAUAUCAUUGCCUUUUGUGUAGGGAAUUUCGAUAAACACAUUUGAGCUCCAUGGCAUGUAUCCUUUGAUUUAUGGUGGGGAUGGCCCGAAUACUAGAGGAGGUUUUAGAGGGAACACAUCCAGGUACUUAUUAUUAUAGAAAGAAAAAUAAUUAAUUGAAAAUGAAAGCCGUAUGUUAGAAAUCCUGAAUUUUAAAGUGUGUGUGAUAGAUUACAGGACUUUCAUCACUGAAAUGCAGGUUUUGCCAAAUAAACUCACUGAACCCAAAUUUAGUGAAGGGUAAAAUUGUCCUUUGCAUUGGGCAUCGCGGUGGGUCUGAAGCAGCAUGGAGUGCAUUCUUGGCAGGUGCCGUUGGGACUGUGAUAGUGGAUGGACUCCAACUCCCCAGAGAUUUCAGCCGCAUUUAUCCCUUGCCUGCAUCUCGCCUUGGUGCAGGAGAUGGUAAAAGAAUUGCCUACUACAUCAGCUCAACAAGGUAUCAAUUUACACAGCUUCCUACUUUUAUUUGGAGAUGACUGUAAAUUAUUUAAGUGAUAUGCUUUAGGAUUUGUACGGCAUAUAUAUACUUAGUCUUACUACAUUUAAACAGUAACCCAACUGCAUCGAUAUUGAAGAGUAUUGAGGUUAGUGACACAUUGGCCCCAUAUGUACCCCCCUUCUCAUCAAGGGGUCCAAACCCAAUUACACACGACCUUCUCAAGGUAGCUUAUGCGAUUAUUCUUGAUUUUCUUCUCAUUUAUUCUAUUACAUUUUCAUUUCUAUAUCAUGUAAACCCAAUUCAACAUUUUCAUCACCCAUUUGAGAAAACAUAGGGUUUUUUUUCUUAAUCUAUGUUGAGAACGGUUACACAUAUCUCAGGCCAAAAGACCCCUUUUCCUUAGUUCAUAAAGACUUUCUAGAAGCUCGACAUUCAUGAUGACUUUGUGAUCUUACUGCAUGCAGCCAGAUUUAACAGCCCCAGGUGUACACAUUCUGGCUGCCUGGUCACCAAUUUCUCCCAUCUCUAAGGUACCUGGCGAUAAUCGAAUAGCGGAAUACAAUAUAGAAUCCGGCACGUCAAUGGCUUGCCCACAUGCUACUGGGGCAGCUGCCUACAUCAAGUCAUUUCACCCCACCUGGUCUCCUGCUGCUAUUAAGUCUGCUCUUAUGACUACUGGUAAUGACUGAAUUUUAUUCCUGGCCUUUCAAAUUAUGAAAGAGGUGAUAGUAAUGGAUCUUAGUCCUUUGUGUGUUUUGUAAGCAGCUACUCCCAUGAGUGCUAGAAAGAAUCCGGAAGCCGAAUUUGCAUAUGGUGCAGGCAAUAUUGAUCCUGUAAGGGCUGUGCACCCUGGUCUAGUGUAUGAUGCCGAUGAGAUUGACUUCGUAAAUUUUUUGUGCGGAGAAGGAUAUAGUGUUCAAAAUCUACGGCUAGUCACCGGGGAUCAUAGUGUCUGUUCUAAAGCUACGAAUGGAACCGUUUGGGAUCUAAAUUACCCGUCCUUUGCUCUUUCCAUCCCCUACAAAGAAUCAAUCGCUCGCACGUUCAAAAGGAGUGUCACAAAUGUUGGAUUACCAGUAUCCACAUAUAAAGCAACUGUUAUUGGUGCCCCUAAGGGACUCAAAGUCAACGUUCAACCAAACAUUUUAUCAUUCACAUCCAUCGGGCAGAAACUAUCUUUUGUGUUGAAGGUUAAAGGACGGAUAGUUAAAGACAUGGUCUCUGCUUCGUUAGUGUGGGAUGACGGUUUAUAUAAAGUGAGAUCCCCCAUUAUUGUGUAUGCAGUCCAAUAAAAUUCCAAAAGCCUGGUGUUUUGUACCAGUGGAAUUGUGGCAUCUAUCAUAUUGAACUAAAUGAUGUGGUAUCUAUAUAAGAUGGAAAUAAAUGAUAAUAUUCAGGAUCGGUUGUAUUACCUGUCCAUACGGGCUAUUGGAUCAAAUACCAAAUCGCAUGAGCCACUUGAACAGCCGGUAGACCCCCAGUUUUUUUUUUUUUUUUACCCUCCUAGCCACUUUUUUCUUGGGCCCACCUCGGUUGGUUUUUCAGUAUUUACUCUCCCCAGAGCCCAGCUUUUCUUUUUGCUCCCCCUAGGCACUUUUCUCGGGGGCCCACCGCACCUUAAUCCCUCUUGUUUGGUUCGUGUUUUGUUUUUUUUUUUGCCCUCACCAACCCAAAAUUGGAGUUUUAAGGACAUUGGUUGAAAUUAUUGCCAAAACAUACUUUUAAAUUAUAAUCAAAUAAAAAUUUCAUAAUUACUCUAAUUUUAUCCAAAUAUGCACUUAAAUAAUAAUAAUAAAAAAUAAGAGCUUCAUAAUAUAUAUAUAUAAAUCUUUAUUGUUGAAAGUACAUGUACAAGAUUUCAUUAUGAAUGACAACGGGGCUGAUUUGGAACAUGUCAUUCUAUGGACCCAUUUGCGCUUCCACUCGAUCUUUAUUUUAUUUGGUAAAAAUUUGAUUUUUAGAAAAAGACUUGGAGUCAUCAUUUAUUUUUAUUUUAUUUUUUUUUAAGGGAAAAACAAAAUAAGAAAGAAAACCUUAAGUGUGACUCCUGAAGGAAAAACAGAUCUAUGAAAAAAACCAGGUUUGGGUCUGGAGGUCAGGUUAUUUAUUGGGAAGGUACGGUGGUAAGUCCUAGCACCCCUUUAAGCCCUUAUACAUACGACGUCUACUAAACGAAUUAAGGGAAUUGUGACAAUUAAUUAAUUAAUGGUGGAUACCAAGAAAAAUAAUCAAUGUACAAGUCAUAAUGGAAAUCAAUAUACACAAAAACAAUGAUGAAAUCUAAUUACAAAAAUAUACAAAAUGAAUAAUAAGAGAAUUAUGUAAAAUGAUUUAUUUAAUUAAAUAAAUAAAAGAUAUUAAAAAAAGUUUUAAAGAAAUUUCAAGGGAUUUUAUUAAAAAUGAUUUUGAAUUAAUGAUUUCAAUUUAUUUACUUACAAAAAAAAAUCAAUUUUUUUCUCAAUUUCAAUUGUAUUCAAUUUCCAAAAAAAAACUAUUUACACAAAAAUUAAUUUUUGGAACAACUUUAUUUACAAAACAAUUUUUGGACAACUUUUAUUAAACAAAGAAAUUUUUGAACAAUGUCAUUAAAAACAAUUUUUUUGGAUUUUUCUAAAAGCAUUUUUCUAAAUUUUUAUAAAUAAUAAAAAAACUUUCUUUUAUUAAAAAGAAUAUUUUAAAAUUAGUAUUUUAUUAUAACAUAUUUACUGAAUUAUUCCUCUCAUUUAAACAAAAUUUCUAAUUUGUUCGAUGUUCAAUUCUGUACACACUCAAUAAAUAUAUACGAAUAAAUAUUUAUAAUAACUAAUUAAAAUAAAACCAAAUAAAAGUGGGAAAUAAAAUAUGUACCCAAAUAAACUUACAACAAGCUCCACGUGUCAUCAAUUCGUACUCAACCAAUAAGAUUGUAGAAUGGGUCCAUGCAAAAACAAAAAUAGUACAAAUGUAAAUAUCCAGGUAUGUAUAAAAUCCCAAACAAAUAUUCAAACCCAAAUUCUAAUUUCAAGUUAGUCCCAUAAAUUUCGUCAAUUAAAAUGAGCCCAAAUUACUAUAGGUAUUAACCCAGAACAUCCAAAUUAAUAACCAAAGAUACAAACACAAUCAACCAAACCUAAAAUUGGAUAAAUUAAAAUAAAUUCUACUAGACCUAAAUUUAAUAUUUCAUAAUCUAAGCCUAGUUUAAUAUACACCACAAUUGUCCCAUGUCCAAAUUAAACAAUUCAAAUUGACCAAACCCAUAUCAAAUAUUCAAAUAAUCCAACAAAUCUCACCCACAUUAUGGACCCCAAAAUUCACAUCAAUUAACAUGCCCACAAAAAAAAAAAACAUGGUCAAGAGAAAUAAUAUUUCAACCCCAAUCCAAUAAGCCCAAACAAAUAACUACUUAACAGUAGGUCCAAGUCCAAAUAAACAAUAUGCAAUUGAUAUAAUCCAAAUAAUAAUAAUAAUAAUAAAAAAAUUAAAAAGAAAAAAAAGAUAAUAAGAAAAUGGGGGAGGAACGGCACUAGGAAUGGCGUCGGCUUGGAGUUGAGUGGUAGUGUGUGGGAAGUUGGGGAGGAAAAGUGGAGAAAAAAAAAGGAAAAGGAAAAAAUAAAAAUAAAAAUGGGCGUCGACGUUUUUGGAGAAAAAAUGGAGAAAAUGGGGGGAUGAAAAUAAAAAUAAGUGAAUCGGGGGCGCUUGCUGAGAAUGGGAGUGGAGUUGCAGAGAAGGGGAAAAGAGAGAAAAAAUUGGGGGGCCGGCCGUUUUUCCCGAGAUGGGGGAGAGAGGAAAGAGGAGAGUGCAGGGGAAAAAUGGGGGAUGGUGGCCGAUGGUGUAGACCCUCAAUUUUGUCCCUUUAGCACAUGUCUUUAAAUUCACUUCCAGUGCUCCACGGCAGUUCCUUGGUGGCCCAUGGCUACUCAUACCACUUACCUUUUUCUGAGUCACCUCGGAGAUUUUGGUUGAGGGAUUAUUUGAUCCUUUAUUGUGACCCUUGGCAACCCUAAUUUAGACUUAGGCUUUUGUUAUUCUUUUUAGGAUAACUUUUUUUUUAGACACACUUGACCCAUUAGGCACCACCCUAGGCCCACUUAGAUUCACCUAGGCUCAUUUAGGCACAUCUAGGUCCAUUUAGGCACCCUAGGCCCACCUAGAUUCACCUUGACUCGCACUGAGGCACCUUACAGUUUACACACACUCACUUUAGGUCCACGUAGGCAUCCUAGCCCACCUAUGUUACCUUUUAGGUAAUUCCUACGUGACUUGUAUAAUUUGCAUGAUCUGCAUUUUUAACGUUGGCAUGUACUUGAUGUCUUAUUUCUAUUUAUUUUAUUUAUUCAUUUACUUAUUUAUUUAUAAUUAUUUGGUUAGUUAUUUGCUUUUAUUUAUUUAUUUUAUAGAAUAUUGCAUGAAAUUGAUGAUUAAUUUUGUAAACUAAUGUCUUAAUUAUUUUUUGUAUACCUAUGAUAGACAUAAUGUUUUUAAUUGCAUAAUUUUAGUUGGUUUUAAUUUUCAAUUUCAUGACUUUUACUGAUUUUAAUUCGUAUUUUAUUUUGGCAUGGGAUUUGAACGCACACAUUGGAGAGGAUCCAUAGGCACGGCUACAAUCUUCCAUGGGCUGCAGUUUUGGAGAUCACAUAGUUGCAUAUCUGGAAGACGGAACAGACUUCCGUGGCAAGAUGCACAGGAAGGAAAGGUGAUGUCCAGAGAAUGAGGAGAAGAAUGCAUAAUCACACUUCCAACAAUGUAUUACUGUCAUAUGGUGUAUUCCUCGAACCCAAAACCCUCUCUCAAUUCCAAACGCGUUCGAGAUUCAUUGUUUCUGCAAGUCUCGGUGCAUUUCGUUUUAUUAAAGGUCAUCCUUCCGCACAAUUGCACCCUGAGAUUGACCGACAGUGGAGUGCACGUUUUGGAGCCCUUGGAAUCAGAAGAUAGAUGGGAUCCUUGCCACUUAAAGAUGGCGCACUUCGGAUUGGACCCCAAGCCCACUCUCACAUGGCUUGCAUGGCCACCCCUUUUGUACAUUAUUUUAAAGCCAGCAUGUCUCAGCCCUUAAUUCCUCUUGCAUGUUUUCCAAAAUGGAUUUUCAAAGAUCCAUUCUUUUUUUAAUUUUCUGGAGAAAUGUUGGACAGUUGCAGUGAGGAUUAUCUCCCAGAUUUUUACCAUGUUAGUGAAAGAUCCCACGCACAGCCCACAAUGGAAGAUUCCACGCACAGCCCGCAAUGAAAGAUCUCCAACAGCACGCAUCCAAGGAAGGAAGCCUAUAUAGGAGAUAUGGAACCAUGAUCAGUCCACAGCAACCAUGAUUCUUAAGGAAAUCAGCCACAAUUGAGGGGCCCACAAGACAUCCAGAUUUUGAUUCCCACAGGCCGCACCAUCCCGAGGGGAUCUCCUCCACGCACCACUCAAUUUUUUUGGAAGGCAUGGCUGCAUCUUGAGCAUGCAUCACGUGGAAAAUAGCAUGAAAAUAGGAAAGAAGAUGGCCACUUUGUGCACAGCACGCAUAUGGUGGGCUGUAAAGGGAGAUUCCUUUUGGUUUUUUUUUGGAAAGAAAAGUCCACUCAUCUAAUCACUUACCAAACAGGGUACAGGGCAGCAUCUUUGAAAAAGUCUCCAAUAUGAACCACACGUAAGCACUUUCCAUAUGUCUAAAUGCACUGAAAAAAAGAAACAAAAUAUUCCAUACAAUGUGCGGCUACCAUAUAAGAAAGGAACGAGCAGAGAGGAGGGGAUCCACACCGAGAGAUAUUAUUUUCUGAGGGAACGAAGAGAGGCCUGAAAGGAAGGAGGAGGCAGUCACCACGCAUUCUCCAUUGAUCAUCAACCCGCGCCACCAGUAACAGCAGGAUAACACCUUGGUUUGCGUAUUGAAGGUUCGGUUUAUGAUUAUUUUUUUUAUUUUAUUGAAAAUUGAUAAUUUCAUGUGUAUUUUAGUUUAUGACUUAUUUUUUUCAUUCUAUGAUUCCAAGUUUCGAUAUUCAUUUACUUGUGUGACGAUAUGAUAGAAUUGAGAAUUCUUGAUUGAUUAAUUUUGAUUCCAAGUUUUGAUUUUCAUUGAGAACUUUGACUAAAUAUAUUAAUUAUUAUAUUCGAUUCGAAGUUUCUUUUUUUAGUUGAUUGAGUUAAAUUUAAGGAUUUGUUUAAUUGUAUGGAUUAUCAUUGUCUUGAUUCCAAGUUUUGAUUUUUCUAGGUUGUUAUGUUUUUAGAAUUUUAGUUUAUUAUUCCUAUUGAACCCAUGUGAUUAACUCCAUGUUUAAAAUUGUUAACUUUAGUCUUUGAUUGACCCUAUUUAGUCUAUGUGUUUUAGAUUUUUAGUUGAUUACUUUCUCAUGUCGUUAUAUCCACAUUUUGAGCUUGUUCGUUUUAAUCCUCGAUUGAUCCAAUUUUAUUUUGUGUGUUUUUUAGAGUUUUAGAUAUUUAAUUUAAAAGUUACUUUUCUCAUGUUGUAAGCUUGUUAAUUUUAAUUCUUGAUUGACCUAAUUUUAGUACGUGUGUUUUUAGAGUUUUAGGUAACUAGUUUAAUCGAUGCUCAUAUUUUAAAAAGUUUGUUAAUUUUGGUUUUUGACUGAUCUUGUCCUAGUUUAUAGUUUUUUUAAAAAUUUUAGUUAAUUAGUUUAAUCGAUGCUCAUGUUUUAAAAAGUUUGUUAAUUUUGGUUUUGACUGAUCUUGUCCUAGUUUAUAGUUUUUCAAAAUUUUAGUUAAUUAGUUUUAUCCCAUGUUAUUAUACUCAUGUAUUAAAAAUAGUUAAAUUUAGCUUUUCUACUUAGUUGAUGUGUCCUUUUUUUAAAUUUUUGGUUAUCAUUUUGCUUAAUCCCUUGUUACUUAGUUUUGUUUUUGUUUUGGAAGUUACUAAUGUCUAGUUGUUGAUUGAUAUUACCCUAGUUUAUGUGCUUCUAGAAUUCUGAUGGUUAGUUUUUUUUAUUUAUAUCUUGUUAAUUUGUUUGAUCUAGAACCCAUUAGUUAGUUGCUUUGAUGAAAUCCCUACAAAAAAAACUUAUUUUUCAAAAACCCUUUAUUGAUAGCUUGUUCGAUUAUUUGACUUAUAAUUUUUCUAAAAAUUUUCCAGUUGUUCCAUGGUAGUUUAGACUUCUUGAACUUGAAUUUAAGACUUUGUUUGAGUUAAAAAUCACUUUUAAAAUGGAAGAUAUGAAUGAGUCUUUUGGGUGGUUCUGUUUUCACCCAGUUUUGGACACUCCAAAUUUUUUUUUUUUUUUUUAAACAUAAAUUACUAGAUGACUCUUGAAAAGUUAAUUUUUGUUUGCUUAAGUUUUGAUUCAUCACUUUGGUUUAAAAGGUGAGAAUUUUUGUUUUAUUUUAAUUUUGAUUCAUUAUAUUACAUUGAAAAAUUAGAAUCUUUGUGUAGUUUGGAUUUGAUUCCUUGCUUAGUUCGAAAAGUUAGAAUUUUGCUUAGAUCGGUUUUAAUAGAUUUAAUUUUAAAAGUCAGUUUUUUUUUUAUGAGUCAGCUUUUUAUUUAGUUCAAGUGUUUUAUAAUUUUUAUUUGAUCUAAAGUCGUUUGGUUUGUUGCUUUGGUGAAUAUUUAUUAAAUUUGAUUUUUAGAGGCCGUUGGAAAAUCAUGAAGAUUGGCCUCUACCAUCACCAUUAUCAUUUUUGUCAAUUACUAAAAAAAAUUUUACUUUGAGGUUUCAUUUUUGUUUUGUUUAUUAUUUUAUUUCUUAUAUUUUAUUUUUUUCCAAAUUAAUUCCUUUUAUUUUAAAAUAAAAUACUUUUCUCAACAAAUCAUUUUAAAAACCUAUUUCAAAAACUCAUUAGAGUCCUCAGGAUCAAAAUUUCCUUUUUUUAUUAUUUAAAAAUAAUAUGCAACCAUAUCUUGUUCGGUUUGCAUCCUUCUCGGUUUUCAACAAAAAUUUUGGUUUUGAACAAAGACACGAAUCAAAGCUUGUGGUCCCACAUAAAUGGGAUAAUUCUGAGCUAAAUUCGUGUAUAUCAAUUGGUGAAACCCCUACAUAAGAAAAUCUUUUCAAAAAUUAUUUUUGUUGUCAUUUUCGUCACUUGUUGAAAUUAUGUCUAUCUUUUUUAGGAAUUGUAUACAAGAUGUGUGUGAUAAUUAAUGUUUUCAUAUACUUUGAUAAUUUUUGUUAUGCUAAUUAGAUAACAAGCAUGCUAGGGUUUCUUUAUUUUAUUAUUAUCUAAUCCCUCAUGUCUUAUGGAAGCGCAUCGUAAGUUAUCUAUGCUAUCCAGGUACGCCCCCUAUCACCUACUUUCCAAAUUUUGUAAACAAUCAUGUCACUGUGAAGUAUGCAUAUGUUUGAUAAUCCUUAGGUGUUUAGAUGUAUGCUUGAUUCACUAUGAUUAAAUACAUGUUGUGUGUUAUACUUCUAUACUAUCUCUCAUGUUUUAUGAUAGCGCUUGGGAAGCCGUCCAGGUACGCAUCCUUAACUUUCCUUCAUUGUUAUUUGAUCUUGUCAGGCAUGCAAUAUUCGAAAUCAUCUAGUCUACUUAGGUAUCCAUAAUUAACUGAUUAAUGGUCGCACUUCCCUUAACUUUGUCAGUAGAGACCUUUAUAGGGCUUAGAGGGGUGCUACCUUUCAAAGGUACCUUCCCAAUAGGUAACCUGAUCCCCGGACUUAGACUCGGGUUUUUCAAAGACAUGCUUUUUUCCAAAAAUUAUGGAGUCACAUUUUAGGGUUUUUCUUUCUUGUUUUAUUUUCCCUUUAAAAUAAAAAUAAAAUAAGUGGCCACUCCAACUUUUUUUCAAAAAUCAAUUUCUCACAAAUAAAAAGCGAGUCUCGCCGAUCGAGUGGGGGCGCACGUGAAAAAUGCAGGUCCACAGAUGGUGAGGAGAGAGAAGAAGUGGGUGGGUGACCGUAGGUGGAGGAGAAAGGAAGAGAGAGGAGAGAGGAGAGAGAAAAUAAAAAUAAAUAAAAUAGAAUAUAAUAAUAAUAAUAAAAUAAAGUAACAGUAAUAAAAUAAUAUACAAAAUAAUAAAAGCUAUUAAAUGGUGAGUGAGCCAAAAAACACAUGUAAUUGGAAUUUAAAAUUUAUUGACAAAAUUGGGCACAAAAUUAAUGUAAAAAUAAAAUUGUGACAAAUUUUGGGGUCUACGUACACAUUCAUAUCCGAUUCCCAUCCGUAAUUACACAGUUAUUUCCCAUCCUUGGUAACCCGAGUUUGGGCAGAUUGAUUGGUUUCCAUCCCCGUUAACAAAAUGACUAAUAACAUCAUCCCCACCUCAAACCGUCUCAGAUGUCCAUUGAACCCUAACCCUAGCUGAUCAUACCUAAAUGCACUUUCCUUUCAUUGCAAAAUAACGAGAUUAUGAUAAUAUAUCAAUUAUGAAAAGAUAAUAGCAAAGUUCAAAUUAACACCACAACAAUCUAUAAUCUUAAGCCCAUAAUUAGUUUAUAUGAUUGAAAAUUAAUGCAAAACGAAAAAAAAUAAAAAUAAAUUAUCUAAACAAUUCACAAGAGAAUAUAAUGAACAAUGAACCAAACGGGAACAUGGGUCAACAUUAGUCAUGGAUUUGAAUCCCUCUUUAGGCCGAUCUUUGAACCAAGACUUCAUCAAAUUCACUACUUCAAAGGCUUUUGUUGUUCCUCUUGAGUUGUGGUCUCAAACAAAGACUUAAAGUUGAUGUUCUGGAUGUUUGUGUUAUACAUAUUUAGGGCAAGGAGAUUGGUGCCUAUGACUAGUUUGAUGUUGCAAUAGAGGAGUUGUAGGCACUAAGGCUAAACUAAGAACCAGAGGGAAUUGAUUUCAGAGUAUUUCAGUUGGUGUGAGGGAGGAAGAAGAAGUGGUAUUGAUUUUGGAGAUAGGGUUUUAGGCAGUGCAUCAAAGGAAGAAGAAGAAGAAGAAACGAUUGUUGAAAUUAGGACAAAUGGGAAGAAUGAAGUAUAUAUAUAUAUAUAUAUAUUGGGAGGUUUUUGACAUUUUACUAGUAGUUAAAGAAUAAUUUUGUAAAUUUAUAUUCAAGGUAGAGCGGGACGGGUUGAAACAAAAUCCAUACCCAUCCCAAACCCGAUUCAAGUUUUUAAAAUAUCCCCAAACCUGACCUAUACCCGUUUUUUAUAUUUCAUACCCAUCCCAAUAGGGGCGAAGCAGGGCGGAUUACCUAGGUAGCCCACAAAAUUGUCAUCCCUAGAUUUCAUGCCUUUUUUAUCUCUUUAUUUUAUUAAUUUAUAAUUUUAAAAAUAUUCAAAUACUUUUUAGUUUUUAAUUCUACAAAUAUACUUAUUUAGAAAAUUUGAAAUUAACUAUAGUUAAAUAUAUUUAUACUAAUCUUCAAGAGGAGUGAGUAAAAUUAAUUUUAUUAAACAAACCAAGAUCACUUAAAUAUGCACAAAUCAUACCAUGAAAAUAACCUAAAAAUAUUUUAAAAGAACUUUUGAAAAUAUUUUUUUUUUUUAUAAUUUCAAAACAAAUUUAUAAUUAAAUUUGAAUAAAAAUUAUUUUAUUAAAAAUGUUAUCUUGCAUUUUUUGGUUCCCUUGUCAUGAUUAUUUAUUAAUUUCUAAUUUAAAAUUCUUUUUAUAUUUUUGUUUUACUCUUAAAAGACAAGAUAAAAGACUAAUAACUCAAUUUUGUUUCAUCCAAAUUUGAAAAAAAAAAAUUUAAAUAUAUAUAUAAAGAUUAACUGUUAAAAUUAAAUGCUUAUAAUAUGUCAAUCACUAAGAUAAUAAAAAAAAUAAACAAACCUUGCUAUGCACUCUAUCCACCAUACAUUUGUAUUGAUUUUAUGAGUCAUGUAUACAACAAUUUCUUGUGAAUAUGUACAAAGCAUUGUCCUAUAAAUUUGUUUUAGGAUGAUUAAUUUCACUUAAUUCUCAAGAAAUGGAAAGACCAUUCUUAGUAAAAAGGAGUACAUUCUCUAUUUUAAAGGAAUGAGUUUCUUCUCCCACAUCCAUCAGAAAUUGACAAUGUGGAAUCAUUUUUACUUGUCAUCCAUGUACAAAACAUUGGCAUAGAUUAUGAAAGACAUUUUGGAUAUGAAAAAACAAUGUACAUCAAAUAAGGACCCCAUUGUUAUGUUUGCCCUCAUAUAAAAUUCAAAAAUCUUUAUGUUGGUAUCAAAGUAUUGGAGUUGUAAUAUCUAUAAAAUUUAAAAUAAAUGGUGUAACAUCAAUAAGAUGGAAACAAAAGAGAAAAUUGUAAGCUUAUAAUAUUAAGGAAAUUUGGAAUUAAUUUUAAAAUAAAAUGAGUGUCAUUAAUUAUUUGAUUAGUUUUUUGUACAUGAUAUGGAGGGUUGUUUCUCAGCAUGACACAUUGCUUAUUGACAGGAUAUGUGAAUAUUAGUUGUGGAUUAGUACCUGAGCCAGCUCGAGGUCGAUAGUGGUGUUAUAAAAUUUUCAAAAAAUGACUCAUAUAUGUAGCCUUCCUCUAUUCUAUUUUUUUCUCAAUUUUUCUAAUAAAUAUAUAGAUCACAUUACAAAUCAUGUAUAAUACAAUCUCCUACAUAGUUUAAUCAAUGUAAGUUAUAAGCUGAUAAAAAAUCAAUACUCCUAGUAUAGGAAAUAAUGAGUUAUUCAUAAAUACAAAUCUUAUUCUAUAACUAAAUAAAAAAUAAAAAUUAAAGAACAAUAAAGAGACAAAAAACAUGCAAAUAUAAGGUGGAAAAUACUUAAGGAGAUAAAAACCAUGGACCAAUCUUAAUCACAAUAUCUACUAUAAAGGAGAUGUCCAGUUCAAUAUUUUACUUAAUAUAAGGCUUCACUCCUCUCCAAGGCCAUUUAUUUAGUAUCUUAGGGAUCUUAGCUUUCCACCAUCUCCAUGUUAAACUUUUUUGAAACCCCUUCAAACAUGAUUUUAUACUCUUUUUGAUAUCCACAAACAAGACAUUUGACCGAAAUGAGAGUAUAAACAAAAACAACAUUGAAUCAAUUCAUUUUAAGUGAAAUUUUCUCACUUUUGAUUUAAAACUAAUGAUGACAAUGGAAUGAGUUUUUUUAAUACUCAGCAUGCUUCAACCUUUAAUGAGACGAGUUUAAAAUUAAAAUAAAUAAAUUAAGAGUGGAUUUGAGAUUAUUAUUUUUUUUUUUAAUUCGAGGCAAGUUUGGGUAUUGUCUUCUCCAAUAGUUUAAUUUAAAAUUUUAUUUUUCACAUUUUAAUAUAUAAAAUAAAAAAGUUACUUUUCAAAAAAAUUAUAAUAUUUAUUUAUUUUUAAUGUAAUAAUUUAAAAAAAAAUUAAAAAAAAAAUAUUUUAACAAAUAAAAAUUUAUCAAGACAAGUAUAAGAAAUUCUUAUAUCUAUGUCUCUUCAUUUAAAUUUUUUUAUUGGGAUGAGAAUAAAAGUUAAUUGAUUUAUGUAAAUAGAACGAGGCUCGAAUAAAGGCAACCUUUCUUGAACUUACUCAUUGUCAUCAGGGAUGGCAACGGGACGGGUUCGGGACGGGUCGCCCCCAACCCCGCCCCGUUUAUUUAAAAUAAUUCCCAUCCCCGUCCCAUUUAAAAAUUUAAACGGGGCGGGGCGGGGCGGGCGGGGCGGGUAUGAUAAAUUCCCAUACCCGCCCCGCUUAACUUUCCUCUUUGAUUUUCUAAAUACAUACAUAAACUCACUCUCCAUUAUUUGAAAUUGAAUCAGGCCUUUGGGCAUUUCGGCAUUGCUUUUCGAAAUGGAGAAAGAAUCUUCCGACGAUGAGGAGGAUCGACAAAACCUAAUCGACAAACAUAAGCGGAAGCUCCCUCAUCAAUCCGGCUUCCAGAUCGAGGAUUUCAAGUCUAGAAUUUCUGCUCAUCGUUUCUCCUUCAAUAAGAGGUACCUCUUCGCCAUCUUCCCCCCUCUCUUUUCCUCUGAGUUUCAUGGUCGCUGGGUGUAGGAAGUAGGGCAAAGUGUAGAUUUUUCUCAAGUUGUUGUUGUGGGUUUUCGGAAAACUGGUUUUCGCAUUCCGGGCCUUUGUGGUGUGAGGGAAAUUUUGGGUGUGAUUGUCAGAUGCGUUUCCAAAACCCAUCAAUCAUACCUCGAAUCUAAGCUAGCCCUAAUUAAAUUUAUGUGUGACAAUAUGCAAAAUUUAGCACAUUCAACCACAAAACUAGAAAAUACCAUUGUCAAAAACAUCAUCCUCAUUUAUUUCACCACAGAUGUUCGAAACUUAUUUACCACCAGUAUUUCCAUCGUUAAAGCCGAUUCUCCCACUGAUCGUAUGAGGGAAUCCGAAUUGUGAGCUUUGUAUUUGUUGAGGCAGCAACAGUUGAGUCUCUUCUCUCUUUGGAACCAUACUGCAUUUGUUGAUUCUGCGCCUAUUCCUUCUGAUCUUCUCUCCUCUGUUGAUUUUAAAUCUGCUUUGCUGAAGCAGUUGAGGACCACCCCGAACCCGAUUAUGAGGGUAUGAAUGGAUAUGGGAGAUGGGGGAUGUGUAGAAUAUAUAUUAUAUGUUAUAAACGAAACGGGGCAGGGCGGGGCGGGGCAAGUGGGGUGAGGCAAUACCCGAACCCGCCCCGAACCCGUCCCGGGUUUUAAAAAUUUUUUCCAAACCCGUUCCAAACCCGGUUAUUAAAAUUGAUCCCCGUCCCAUUAGGGGCGGGGCGGGGCGGGUACUCGAAAAAACCCGCCCCAUUGCCAUCCCUAAUUGUCAUCCCUAUUCAAAACUACAAACUUUCCCUAAAAACAAACAUACCCCUAAAUUUGGCAAAGCAUUUGAAGAUCCUCCAAAAUUAGUAAAGAUUUAUAGAUCAAGGUAUAUAUAUAUAUAUAUACAUCCACCAUCUUAAAUCAAUUAUCAAUUCUUUAUCCAUCCUUAAUCAUGACGACUUUUGAAAUGAUAAAGAGGGGAGAAUUUGAAACAUUUAAGCUGAGGGUAUACAAUAAAAUUUUUUAUGUGAAAUUGCUAACACAUAAAGAAGCUCAAAAGAUCAAUUUUUAACCAUCUUUUCAUGACCGAACGACAAAGCUGGUACUGAUAGGAGACAUAUAGUUGUGAUUAGAAGCAUGAGAAAGACUGAUGAGUUAUUCAUAAAUAAUCUUGAAAGUUUAGACUAUUUAAAAACCGGAUCACUGGAAUGUAACAUCUUAGAUGAAUAAAUCCUAUGCUAGAAAUAUAUAUAUAUAUAUAAUUCUGAAAUAGAUAGAAUUAGCGUCAAUGUAGAAGUGAAAAAUUUUAUAAAUUGCACAAAAUUUACAUGAUUGAAAAUUUUUGAGACUUUUGAUAGUUCUUCCAUUAAUAUGGUUCUUUUUCAAGAAAUUGUGAUAUGUUAGAUUUUUUUUAAUUAAUUUUUUUAUGAUGGAGAUAUAAGAAAGAGUUAGCAUUAAUUUAUAACAUAGAAAUUAAGGAGAAAAUAGUAAUGCAGCAUUGAACUUUAGGAUUUUGUGAAUAAGCAUGAAUCAAUUUUAGUCUCAGCGUAAAAGUGCAUAUUCAUGUAAGUCGCAACUCAGUAUAAUGUGACAAGUGUUACCUAGUUAUUGCAUGUCAUUAUGAUAAUAUACUUCCAGGACUUCAUCAAUAUAUUACAACCCAACUAGGAUUGAAUUUGUUGUAUUUCUCGUAAAAUAGCCUAUUCACGUACGGUGCAUGCAAGUGAAAGCAAUUGGGCAACAUGGUAUCUUCUCUUUCACGAUGGCUUCUCUUUAUUGUUAAUCCCAAAAAAUAAAAAUAAAAUACAAGAUUUUUAAUAUAAUUUAAUGAUUAAUGUAAUAUCAUGUCUAUAGACUACAUUAACAUUCAACAAUCUAUUAAUCAAAAUAAAAGAUAAGAGUUAUAAUAAUAAAAUUUUCGAAAAAAUCUCUCAAUUAUUGUUACACUCUCUAAAAACAAAACCUUAAACAUAAAAUGUUAAAACUCAAUUGGUUGAAUUGGUUAAGCAAUAAUAAACCUACCUGCUAAUAAUUAGUUAACUGAUUAAAUCUUACACUAAAAACUUGCAUUUUAUCUUAAUAUACCAUUUAACCCUAAUUUCCUUAUAUUUCAUUAUAUCAAAAUUACAAAUUAGGAGGUUUAUUCUUAUCAAAUAUUUUCUUGUAUACCUUGUGAAGUGGGUUUAAUUGUGGGGUAUCAUUUGAGGGAAAAAAAAAAAUCUAAGUAGGUAUCACUUAGGAUUUACCAAAUGUGUAGUAUCACUUAUGGUUUGUCAAGUCUGGGGUAUUAGGGAGUUCAAGAGAGAGACAUCUCUUAAGGAAAAUUAUUAGUGCGCAUUAGAUCCAGUUAAUACAAAUGUAAAACUUGAAGGUUUGUGUUGGAAGCUUUGUUAAUAGAACUCUCAUUUGAUUGAAGCUUGAGGAAAGUGAAUCUAAGUCAAGAUUUAACCAUUAAAAAUCUUGAGUUCAAAUUCGUUGGAUUCCCUACUUUUUUUACUUUAUAUGUAAUUAUUUUUCAUUAUAUUUGUUAUAUAUAUUGCUCAAUUUAGUACCCUUUAAAGUGAUUAUCUUGGGUUGGUUUUGCUAAAAUUCUACUCUAAAAAAUAAUUUAUUUAUUAGGGAUACGAUGAACUUAUGUAUGACACAAAAUAUUUCAAAUUAUUUAUAUUUUCAAUUAUUUUUGGGAAUAUUUUAUGCAAAAGCACCAAAAAUAUCUAAAAAUUAUUUUUAAAAUAUACUUUAUAUAUUUUCAAACAAAUUCCUAAAAAUCUAUUUUUAUUUAAAAAUUUAUGAAAUAUUCUUUUUUAAUUAGAAAAUUGUUUAUAUUUUAAAGAAUAGAAAGAAAUAAUUCUCAAACAUAUCCAAAAUCCUUUAGAAUAAUGAGAUAACAAAAGGGAUAAGUAUCUUUUGUCACGUUGGUAUGAAAAUAACCACAAAAUAAAAAAUCUCUAAAAACAAUUCAAAUUUUAGAUAUCUACUAAUCAAAGACAAUACUUAUAUUAUUAGAAAGUAAUACUAAUUAUUUUUAAGAAAUUUGAAUUUUAUAAACUGGGUUGUAUUUUUUUUAUUUUAUGACAGCAUGGAAACUCAUUUUCACUAUAUAUAUAUAUAUAUUCCAUCAUUGCUGCUUAUUUUAUUGAUGAUUGGUGAUGUAUGGGGGGAGUCAUAAUCAACUUUAUGUUAGCUGGCACACAGCAUGUGACUCGGGUACCUGAUAAUUAAAUGAGAGGACAUUAUACAAAGCAUAAAAUUUCUUAAUUCUAUUUUUGAUUUCCGAAAAAUUUAAAGACAAAAAGAAAAUUAAAACUAAUAAAUUAUUUCUAUUUUUUAUUUAAAUUUAUUUUAUUUUUAUUUAAAAAUUAAAAAUUAAAUAAUUUUAAAAUAUAUAAUUUUUAAUUGAUCUUAAUUAUAUUUAAUUUUUUUUAUUACAUAAAGGAAUUUUUUCUUUCAUGUACAAUAAUUUGAAGCUAGUGCUCUUCUUUCAACCCAUAAUUGGGAUUGGACUCCAAUUAGUGUAUGCCCCACCAUUCCUACACUCCAUCCUCAUCUUGACCACUUUCAUAAAAGUCCUAUGGCUAAGCUCCACUUUUUGAAAAGGAAGAGCCUCUUACGGAAAAAAGUUGUGUGAAAAGGAUCUUUUACGUUGAAAACAUGCUUUAGUGGUGAUGAAAGGCACAAAAAUGCAGGAUUCCUGGGAAAGAUAUAAAAUUUAUGUAAAAAUAUUUGUUGGGUAAUAGUUGAUUUUUCUCUAGCUAGCUUGUGAUACAAAAAAGAAAAUGGAAAUAAAAAUUUCCAAAAAAAAAAAAAAAAUGAAGUGAGAAAAUGAGAAAAAAAAAAGAAAAAAAAUUCAUUUUUCUACUAGAUAAUAAGAUAAAAUAUUGUUAAAGAAUCCCAAUGGUCACCGGUUCAAGUCCCCUCAGGGUCACUGAAAGUUUACCCGGUUGUUAAUUUCAGGGCCUGUGAGAUUAGUCGAGGUGCGCAUAAGUUGGCUUGGACAUCCAUGGUUAUAUAAAAAAAAAAAUAACAUUGUUAAAGAGGAUUAAUUUUGAGACGGUACUUAAAAAAAAAUGGUAAUAAUACCUUGCAAAGAAAUCAAAUAAAGCUAAUAAUGGAAUGAAAUUCUAGAGAGAUGAAUGAAAUUCUAAAGAUGAAGAUUAUAUUUGGUUGUAAGGAAAAUAUAAAAAAAGAAAAAUAAAGAGAAAAAUUAAAAGAAAAAAAUAAAUAAAUUAUUUUAAAUUUAUUUUACUUAUUUUAAUUUUUUUAUAUAAAGAUUGAAUAAUUUUAAAAUAUAGAAAUUUUUAACUAGUUUUAAUAAUAUUAUAUAUUUUUUAAAUAUAUUUUUAUAACAAAAUCAAAUAGGAGAAAAUAAUUAAAAUUUUUUUUUUCUUUAAUGGAUACUUUUUUGGGAAUCAAAUAUAGCGGAAGUUUAAUGUGAUGAUUGAUACUUUCUCCCUUUGUUUAUAAUGUUUGAACUUCGUCCACAACUUUAAUAAAAUUCUUUUUCAAAAGCAGCUAUCAUGAAAAAGAUAGAAUUCUUGAAAGAGGUGUAAAGUAGAUGUUGAUGUGAAAGUGUCUUUUAGUCGAGCAGCCUUUGCUACUUGGUUGACAUGUAGUGUCGCCAUUUGAUUCAAUGGGGCAUCGCUUUUUAUUCCAGCAUUUGGUUUUUUUAGACUAUAAAUUAUUAGAAUGUCUAGGAAGGUGUAACGUAAGAUUAAAAGAGAAAGAGGGUUGGAGGACUCAAGUAUGUAUCAUGUAUGUAUAAAUGUCCAAGCACCACAAAGCGCAUAGCUGACCCUACAAUGGCAAGACCAAAAAACUCUCGUCUGUGGUUUCUCCUUCUCAGUCUCAUCUGCAGUCUGCUCAAUACGCACAGCACUGCAGCAGCUUCGGAGGAUGAUGGUCGAAAGGCAAUAAACACCCACCUCUCUCUUGUUUGUUCUUAAUGGCUUGGUCAAUAUUCCAUGAAAAUUAAGAUAAAUCUUGUUGAAAAUCAUGGUUGAGCCGUGUUAAUAAACUGGAUUUGCACCAAACAUAUUGUGGAUGCAGGAGUAUAUUGUGUACAUGGGUGCCAAGCCUGCCGGAGAUUUCUCGGCAUCUGCCAGUCACACCAACAUGCUGCAGCAAGUCUUUGGCAGGUCAGUAUUUCUUUCUUAAUUAUUUAUUGUGGAUUUUCACCCUUUUUUUUCCCCCCAAAACUCUACUAGAUCGGUGAUACACCCUUUUUUUUUUUUCCCAAAAGGAGGAAAGGAAUGGAACGAAGGGGGAUUUGAACCCCCAAAACCUCAUGUUUACGAUAUGUUGAAUAAUUGUACAUAUUAUAUAUAUAUAUAGUAUAAAUAAAUUAAUUUUGGUUAUUGUAACUUCUAUAUAAUAAUUACAUAUAAAAUAAAUAUUAAUUUUUGAAUAAAAUGAUCAAAAUUUUAAAAUAAAAUAUACUUAUAUAAAUUAUCAUUAUCAAGUUAUUAAAUAUAUCCAAAUUAAAUGAAUAUACAUAAAAUAUGUUUUCAAGUUAUAAAUAUUAUUAUUAAAUAUCAUAUAUCAUCGUUUACUUUAUAUCAUUUAAUAUAAUUGAAUUAAAUAGAUCAUAAUUUUGAUAUUAAAUAUAUUUUUAAAUUAGACAUAUUAUACUUGAAUAUGAUAAUGUUAUUAUAAAAUAAUAUUUAAUAUAAUUUAAUAAUAAAUGUACAUUUAUAAAAUUCAUAUUUUUUUAUCAAUGUAUAUGAUAUUAUUAUCAAAUAUAAUAAAUUAUAUUAUGCAUAUAUCAAAAUUUUCAAUAAAAUAAUUUUAAAAUGUCUAUUAUAUUUUUAAUUACAUUUCUAUAAUAUUUUCCUUACAUUUUUUUAUGAAUUUUGAUUACUUUUAUUAAUUUUAGAUUUAUCGAUAUUUUUUUCAAAAUAUCCACGAUAUAUCCCAAUAUAUCCGAUAUAUUCUAGAUGUAUUCGAUAUAUCCGUAAAAUCAAAAUACUGAUAUGUCACUAAUUACCGAUAUUAUAAUCUUGGUGGUACCUAACUUUCCACAUGAAUGCUUUCGCAGCAGUAGGGCAUCAACUUCUCUGGUCCGCAGUUACAAAAAGAGUUUCAAUGGAUUUGUAGCGAAGCUAACAGAGGAGGAAAUGCAACAAAUGAAGGGUGGGUAGGUGGGUUUGAUUCUUUCUGCAAUUGAAGUAACUCAGCGUGUUAUGGCUACAAAAUGAACUGUAACUUUGGAGUUUCAGGAAUGGAUGGGGUGGUCUCGAUUUUCCCUAACGAAAAGAAACAGCUCCAUACAACUAGGUCCUGGGAUUUCGUGGGGUUUCCCCAACAAGUUAAAAGAACGAGUUUUGAAAGCGACAUUAUCAUAGGAAUGUUAGACACUGGAAUAUGGCCGGAGUCUGACAGCUUCGAUGAUGAAGGAUUUGGUCCACCGCCAAGGAAAUGGAAGGGCACUUGCCAUGGGUUUUCCAAUUUCACUUGCAACAA
rnacentral:lncRNA from 1 species